rnacentral:rRNA from 1 species
CAUGCAAGUCGAACGAAGUAGCAAUACUUAGUGGCAGACGGGUGAGUAACAUGUGGGUAUCUACCCUUUGGCCUGGAAUAACACGAGGAAACUUGUGCUAAUACCGGAUAAGUCUUUACGGAGAAAGCUUUAUGCACCAUUGGAUGGGCCCGCACUUGAUUAGUUUGUUGGUAGGGUAAUGGCCUACCAAGACUAUGAUCAAUAGCUGAUUUGAGAGGAUGAUCAGCCACAUUGGGACUGAGACACGGCCCAAACUCCUACGGGAGGCAGCAGUGGGGAAUCUUGCACAAUGGAGGAAACUCUGAUGCAGCGAUGCCGCGUGAGUGAAGAAGGCCUUUGGGUUGUAAAGCUCUUUCGUCGGGGAAGAAAAUGACUGUACCCGAAUAAGAAGGUCCGGCUAACUUCGUGCCAGCAGCCGCGGUAAUACGAAGGGACCUAGCGUAGUUCGGAAUUACUGGGCUUAAAGAGUUCGUAGGUGGUUGAAAAAGUUGGUGGUGAAAUCCCAGAGCUUAACUCUGGAACUGCCAUCAAAACUUUUCAGCUAGAGUAUGAUAGAGGAAAGCAGAAUUUCUAGUGUAGAGGUGAAAUUCGUAGAUAUUAGAAAGAAUACCAAUUGCGAAGGCAGCUUUCUGGAUCAUUACUGACACUGAGGAACGAAAGCAUGGGUAGCGAAGAGGAUUAGAUACCCUCGUAGUCCAUGCCGUAAACGAUGUGUGUUAGACGUUGGAAAUUUAUUUUCAGUGUCGCAGGGAAACCGAUAAACACACCGCCUGGGGAGUACGACCGCAAGGUUAAAACUCAAAUGAAUUGACGGGGACCCGCACAAGUAGUGGAGCAUGUGGUUUAAUUCGAAGAUACGCGCAGAA